AUUGAACGCUGGCGGCAGGCCUAACACAUGCAAGUCGAGCGGAUGACAGGAGCUUGCUCCUGAAUUCAGCGGCGGACGGGUGAGUAAUGCCUAGGAAUCUGCCUGGUAGUGGGGGACAACGUUUCGAAAGGAACGCUAAUACCGCAUACGUCCUACGGGAGAAAGCAGGGGACCUUCGGGCCUUGCGCUAUCAGAUGAGCCUAGGUCGGAUUAGCUAGUUGGUGAGGUAAUGGCUCACCAAGGCGACGAUCCGUAACUGGUCUGAGAGGAUGAUCAGUCACACUGGAACUGAGACACGGUCCAGACUCCUACGGGAGGCAGCAGUGGGGAAUAUUGGACAAUGGGCGAAAGCCUGAUCCAGCCAUGCCGCGUGUGUGAAGAAGGUCUUCGGAUUGUAAAGCACUUUAAGUUGGGAGGAAGGGCAGUAAAUUAAUACUUUGCUGUUUUGACGUUACCGACAGAAUAAGCACCGGCUAACUCUGUG
rnacentral:rRNA from 1 species